rnacentral:rRNA from 1 species
UACGGGGGGGGCAAGCGUUGUUCGGAAUUACUGGGCGUAAAGGGCUCGUAGGCGGCCAACUAAGUCGGAUGUGAAAUCCCCAGGCUCAACCUGGGAACUGCAUCCGAUACUGCCCGACUAGAGGUAGGUAGGGGAGAUCGGAAUUCCUGGUGUAGCGGUGAAAUGCGCAGAUAUCGGGAGGAACACCGGUGGCGAAGGCGGUUCUCUGGGCCGUGUACUGACGCUGAGGAGCGAAAGCGUGGGGAGCGAACAGG